ensembl:lincRNA
CUCUGACCGGAAGGGCUAUUUUCCCAGGGUCUUUCAAAAGAUAUGCAGAGGUGUGACAUUGGCUGAGAGCACCUAGAGUUGAUGGCCUCCUUUUGCUUUAUCCCACGGUCGGCAGGGCCUCUUAGGGGGCUGAUUCUUCUCCGCUCUGUGCACCCAGAGGACAGAGAAACCAUCGUGAAGAGCAGGAAAGGUCCUGAAAGGAGGCAAGUCGCUCGAUCUCUCUUUCAGGUUCUUCCUCUGUCAUUUGAAGAAGCCCAUGAAUUUUUGUCUCCAAGAAAAGGCCUGGAAUCCUGCAACUCUGAGCUGAGGGCCAUGAUGAAGAAACCAAAGGGAAAUCUAUCCCAACUCUAGCUGCUCCUGUUUCACUCCGCCACUCUUUGACAGCCACUAGUUCUGCUUCCACAGUAAUUAAUGGCUCAUGCAGCUGCUUUGACAACAGAUUUGGGGCUUCUUUGGUUUCUGCCAUCAGCUUAGCCCCAUGCAGCCCUCCUUUAUCUGGGGGGAGAGGAGGGAAGGGGCUUAGAGGUGUGCUACCAGCCACCCCCAUCAUUGGGGGAGCAGAUGUUUUGAAUAUAGGGAGGUGUGAGAUUAAUGAGUCUCUCCUUUAAGACCCUGCCAUCAAAAUAGCAUGGCGUGUCAACUCAGGCUUUUUGCAGUUAUGAUCAGAAAUAAGCUAGCAAGGUGGACUUACUCAACACAGUAGCAUAAUAUAGUGCUCCACAUGCUUUUGUUUGUACUGUGACAUAGAUAUACGCAAGUGGAAGAGAGGCCCUGACAACUUCCUUGUUUUACAGUAAAGCAAAGAUGGUACUGAUUCCCAAAUCUUCAUUCAACCAAGUUCUCUCUUUCUUCAGAUUCAAACCAUUUAAUAUGCAUUGUACUGUAUAUUAACACAACAUGCAAAAAUGAACUGAUAACCUACCUUCAUGUCCCCUAAAAUGAACGUCUUCCUGAACUUGUGAUUCUCCUCAAGGUCCCUCACUAUAGCCAAGUCUGUCCAGUCCCCUUCUCUCAAUCCCAGUCACCUUCUCCACAAUCACUUCCCUAGCUUGGCCCCCAUCAUGUUUUGCCUGAAUUACCAUCACAGUCACUUCCUCCAGCCUUGUCCCCCUUUAACCCUGCAGGCAGCAUGGUCUUUUCAAGCAUGGGUAAGCUCCUAACCACCCAGUUCCAACACUUCAACAGCAUCCCAGGGCACUCAGGCUGCAGUCGAGUUUCUCAAAAAUAGCAUGUUUGCUUUCACCUUUAGGUCUUUGGCUGUUUACUCCUUGUGUCUGGAACUCUUAUUUCUCCAUCCUUGUCUCUGUCACUGGCUGUCCCCUACUCACCUCUUAGGUAUCUGAGUAGAUACUUCUAGCAGGACUUCCUCACCUUCCAGUGUUUAACAAUCCCUUCUCUGUUCACUUAGUCUUCUCUACUCUUCUCCACUCCCACUGACUUUGCAUUUAUCAGACUCUAUUAUAAUUGCCCAUUUACUUUCUAUAUCCUCAGUUCCCAGCAUAGAGCAAAAUGGAUACAAAGUAUUUUUUAAAGGAAUGAAUAAAUAGCCUGCCUAUUCUCCAUAUUCUCCAUCAUAAGAGAAACAGAGAGAGAGAAAGGAAGGGAAGGAGGAAGGGAGAGAGGAAGGAUUCAAGCAAAACAUGCUUAUCCCUACCAUCCACCACUUUCUGGUUAAAACUGACCAAAAGAAAAGAAAAGAGUGAAGAAAUACAGGAAUGUCAUGUUGUACCUGAAAACACCUUACCUUUAUAAUCCACCAAAGUGCAUAAUAUCCUCCACUUGUAUUCCUAAUCUCACCAGCUCCCAAUCCCUCAUGAAGUUUGUUCUAUCUAUUACCUGUGUAUUAUAAUUAACUGGGGAGCUUAAAAAAUACCAAUGCUCAGGACCCACCACAGACCCAUUAAGUCAGAACCUCUGGGGGUAGUGUGCCAUUAGGGUUAAUUGGGCUGAAUUAAGAUCUUCCCUUCCAAAACCUGUAUCUUUCUCUUUCUGUGGACUGAUUCCACUUAAUCAACAGGCUCAGAUUUCAUCUACAAUGAAACAAAACUAUUCUUGUCCCUGUGCACUUCUACAGUCACUGACCCUUCUUUGCUUCUCAUUCAAGUUUCCUAGAAGAGUAGCUUAUGUUGGCUAGCACCACUCACUCAUUGCUUUUUCUUCCCAUUACAACUUCUAUGUCCACCAUGCCGCUGAAUUUGGCCAAAUAAAAAGCACCAGUAGUACUUGUACUGCUAAAGGUAACACUCCUACAGCCAAAUGUCCUGUUCUUACCUCCAUAAAGAUCUCUGCAUUUAACAGGACUGAGACAGAUACACCCUAAGGUGACCCCAAUGCAUCACAUCCUUGUAAAUCCCCUCCCC